rnacentral:rRNA from 1 species
UACAGAGGUCCCAAGCGUUGUUCGGAUUCACUGGGCGUAAAGCGUGCGCAGGCGGUUAUGUAAGACAGUUGUGAAAUCCCCGGGCUCAACCUGGGAAUUGCAUCUGUGACUGCAUAGCUAGAGUACGGUAGAGGGGGAUGGAAUUCCGCGUGUAGCAGUGAAAUGCGUAGAUAUGCGGAGGAACACCGAUGGCGAAGGCAAUCCCCUGGACCUGUACUGACGCUCAUGCACGAAAGCGUGGGGAGCAAACAGG